GUGGGAAUCCUCGGGAAUUUUGGGGAAUUCGCGGGGAAUCCUGAGGGAUUUGUGGGGAUUUGUGGGGAAUCCAUGAGAAUUUGUGGGGAAUCCUCAGGAAUCCAUGGGAAUCCUCGGGAAUUUUGGGGAAUUCGUGGGAAUCCUGAGGGAUUUGUGGGGAAUUUUCGGGAAUCCAUGGGAAUACUUGGGAAUCCAUGGAAAUCUUCAGGAAUCUGUGGGAAUCCAAAGGAGGUUCACAGGAAUCCAUGGAAAUCCAUGGAAAUUCCCAGGAAUUCAUGGGAACCUUUGGAAAUGCUCAGGAAUCCCCAGGAAAUCCUCAGGAAUCCAUGGGAAUUUGUAGGAAUCCUCAGGAAUCCCCAAGAAUCCAUGGAAAUUCCCGAAAAUCCAUGGAAAUCCUCAGGAAUCCACAGGAAAUUCAUGGAAACCCUCAAGAAUCCGUGGAAAUCCUCGAGAAUCCGCAGAAAUCCAGGGAAAGUCACCAGAAUCCACGGGAAUCCUCGGGAAUCCACAGAAAUCCAUGGAAUUCCACGGGAAUCCUCGGGAAUCCACAGAAAUCCAUGGAAUUCCACAGGAAUCCUCGGGAAUCCACAGAAAUCCAUGGAAUUCCACGGGAAUCCUCGGGAAUUCACAGAAAUCCAUGGAAUUCCCCACCCCGAACUCCAGAUCCCGAUCCCGCGGCUCCUCCGUUAUUCCGGGUCCUCCUCCCGCUCGGCCCCGGGACAGGAAAACCGGGAAUUCCCGCGGAUUUUUGGGAAUGUCGGGGCGGCCGGAGCC
rnacentral:lncRNA from 1 species